CUCGCCGCNGGGGCCGGGUUCGACGCCGCAACGGCCGUCGACGCCGCGCCCCGGGACGAGACGACAUGUGGCCGCUUCGCGGCUGAAUCGCAAC
ncrna:unclassified sequences eL15-Euryarchaeota ribosomal protein leader